rnacentral:rRNA from 1 species
UACGUAGGGUGCAAGCGUUGUCCGGAAUUAUUGGGCGUAAAGAGCUCGUAGGCGGUUCGUCGCGUCGGCUGUGAAAUCCCGAGGCUCAACCUCGGGUCUGCAGUCGAUACGGGCGGACUGGAGUUCGGCAGGAGAGUGGAAUUCCCCGGUGUAGCAGUGAAAUGCGUAGAGAUCGGGAGGAACAUCAGUUGCGAAGGCGGCUCUCUGGACCAGCACUGACACUGAGGCACGAAAGCGUGGGGAGCAAACAGG